GCGAGUAUGGCCCUCACGGGUCUAAUCCACCAUAAACACCUUUGUGAACCAGUCAGGGGGACUCGGCCGUGAAAGCCCAGGCGAUUAGCGGAAGGGCCCUCCUUUGCAAACCCCGUUUAGAAGUCUUGAAAGUACUUUUGUAUAAUCUAGUA
rnacentral:misc_RNA from 1 species